GAGGUUGUGGCUCAGUGGUAGAGCCCUUACCUAGCAUGUGUGAGGGCCUGGGUUCAAUCCUCAGCACCACA
rnacentral:tRNA from 1 species